rnacentral:lncRNA from 1 species
CCUUUUGGCGAGGGCGGUGAGGGGUUGUUUACUGGGUCUGCAAAGCCUCACUGUGGGUUGCAGCUGGGGGGUGGAUUUGGGACCAAAGUCUGCACCCACAACCCUGAACCUCUGGAUCCUGUGCAAAGGCAAGGUGUGUGGAAUAAACACCUGCUGUGCACCCAGCUGGACUCUACAGCACCUACUGUGUAUUCACACUCCUGCAGGAACCCGUGUUCUUAAAGAUGAAUAAUGCUCCACCCCCCAUGCUGGGUCUUCUGGGGAUGAGCCACAGCCUGGAGGAGCUGAGGAGGCCACAUCACAUGAGGAAGCUUUACUGUUUCCCCUUCUCCUGAAAUGUGUCUGGGAUGGAGAGUGUGGAGAGUGGGCCCACCUUUAUCUGGGUCCACUCAGGCUGCUGCAGAGACUACCCCAGACUGGGUGGCUGAUAGACAAGACAUUCAUUUUCCACACUUCCUGAGACUGAGAAGUCUGAGAUGAAGAAACCUAGAAGCAAGGAAGCUGCCACCAUGAUGCAGCGGGGAGUCCGAGGCCCUGGGAGGUCAUAUGACUCAUUCAAGGUCAUCCUGCUGUGGCAGAGAUGCGAUGAAGCCCUGGCUUUCCUGAUGGUCACCAAAGCAAUUCCUGAAUCUGGCCAUUAGACCCAUCACCAGGGAGGUGACUUUUCUCUCUGUACUGAACAAACAGUCCUGUUAGGGGCAGCCCAGGCUGGGUUAAUGGCUGAAGGGAAUGCCAGGACUGAGGUUUGGGGAUCGCAGUGUCCUUGGGAGCUAUGAAAUCUUGGCUGAGGCCUUCUUGGCAGCCAACCUCGAAGCACCACAUCGGGCUUUGAAAUGUGCGGGGCCUUUGAGAUUCAGCGCAUCUGAAUCUGAAUUUAUGCCGUCUCACUUGCUGGAAUCUACUGAUCUGUCCACUGUUCCUGGAAGAAAUACUUUGUUUUCAUGUGCCAGUUGCCUUUCCAGCCUGACUGUCAGCCCAAGGUCGCAGGAGAAGAUCUGAUUGCAUGUCCUUGAUUUUGCUGCUCCCAUUCCGAGAACCAGCUUCCUCCUCUGGAAGGUCGACUGAGGGGGGCUUGACUGGACUUGGCUCAAGGCUGCAAGUGGUCCAUGUCUGCUCUGUGUGUCUUUCAUCCUCCCCAACCAGUUAGAAAACGUGAUAUCCUCUUCUACGAUGAUGAUGGAAAUACAAAAUUGGUAAGUAGAAAUAUAUGAUGCGUCUUACGUCAGUGCUCAGCAUUGGCACUCUGUCAUUUCUGCCUACUUUUCAUCAGCCCAUGCAAGUCACAUGGCUAAACUGAACGUAAGUGGGAUAGGAAAGGUCCCUUGUCUUAUAGGAGGAGCAAGUGCAAAAUCAUAUGGCUAAGGACAAGGACACCGGAAGGGGUAAAGACUUGCACAAUGAGCAAAUUACACUUGAAUAAUUAUAUAUACAAUACACACACACACAUAUACAUGUACAGGUGUAUACACACACACAUAAUGUAUAUGUAAAUACAUAUGUAUAAAUUCAAACUAAGGAAGUUCCAUGUUGUCUCAGUUUAUGAAGAGUUUUUAAUCAGGAAUCAUAGUUGAAUUUUUAUCAACUACCUUCCCAGAAUAUAUGGAGAAUUAUAUGGUUUUCUUAGUGAUGAUGGAUAUUGUGAAUUAUAUUAAUUGAUCCACUCACAGAGAGCCAUCCUUGCAUUAUGGAAUAAUGGUGGUGGCAUAUUAUCCUUUUAAAACACAUUUGUGUUCUCUUGGCUAGUAUUAUUUUUUAGAAUUUUGCAUUUACACUGUCUUAAAGACAGGACUAUAGUUUAUUGGUGGUGCUCUUUUUUUGGAUUUUGCUUUUGCCGUUAUACUGGAUUCUUUGAUUCAUUUAAAAGUCCUUUCCCACUCUCCAUGGUGUUUGGGAAUACUUUAAAUAGCAUUGCAGGUAUCUGUUUCUUGAACUUGUGAUAGAUUUUACCUGGGAAGCUGUCUGGGUCUGGUACUUUAGUGGAUAGUGGCUCUUUGACAACAUUCCCAAUUUCCUCUCUGGUAACUGGACUGUUUAGAUUUCCUAUCUAUUACAAAAUUAGUUUUCAUCAUUUAUAUCUCUAGAAAAUCACCCAUUUUGUUCAUGUUUCAAACCUGUUUUCAAAACCGAGUAAUGUUAUCAUUCUUUGAAUUUCCUCUCUAUGUGGUUAUUUCCCCAUUUUCAUUUCUAAUGAUAUGUGUUUGUGCUUUGUUUCUUGAAUAGUUUCGCUAGAGAUUUAUUUGUUUCGUUUUUCACAGAUAGGUUCAAGGUCCAGUUCUAGCUUUGACUCCCUGAAUGGCCUGUGUAUACUCUGCCCUUUUGAAACCUCAGGGAAGUGUCCAGACUCCUGAUCUCAGCACAUAAACCUUUCAUCUGGCCCUUGGUGUUGGUCUUGCUGAACUCUUUGCAAAUUUAUCCAAUUCCAAUGUUUCCUUCGGCCUUCAGACCCUUGGAUGUUCUGUUCCUGGUGCCUGAAAUGCCUGUCCUUUCUCUCAACCCCCACUCAUCAAACUCCUGCUCAUCCUUAUGGACUUAGCCCUGAUGCCCUUUUUCCUAGAUAUGCGGGUUUCUGCUGCCCUGUCUCAGCAGGGUCCUCCACCUCUGGGCUCUUCUCCCAACUGCUGAGCAUGUCUGCUCACUUGUCUGAUUGACCCACUGGAUGUGAGAGCUUUGAAAGAGGAGGUCUGCAGUCUCCAGCAUUGUACCCCCAGCUCCCAGCAUGGGGCCUGGCAAUGAAUCGCAGGCAGGCAGCGUUUGUGGAAGAAAGACAGGAAGGCUGUAGAUACAAACUAUACAACAAACACAUCCGGGAUUCUCACAGGGAUUUUCCCUGUUGGCAUACACUCUGCUCCCAGCCCUCCUGGGAACAGCUGAAAUCCGGGGCUGUAAUUCUUACACCAGUUAUAUUGAAAUAUUCGAUGUCUAGAGAACAGCGUUUGCUCAGCGCUUGGCUUAGGGGCUGUCAGCACCCCUGCUCACAUGCUUCCGCACUUCUGAAGCUGCAUUUGUCAGCUCCAGCUCACAGGCCUGGCUCUUACGUGGGGAGCCUUGCUUGUUGCUACAGCAGACUUUCCUGAUGGACCCCUGGGGCUGCCACAUUUCCUGGCCUUCCAUCAAAUCCAACACAUAUUUUUAAAACACCUACUUUGCACCCCGCGCUCUGCUAUAACAUGGUGUCCUCCCUGCUGAGGGGACACUGAGGGGAGAGGAGUGGGCUGGAGGACAGAGUGUAAGUAUAGGGGAGAGACUGCUGUGGCUGCAGAGACCAGUCAGGGUAGGACCUGGGCCUGGGCCUUCUCUUCUGACUCAUCUUGAGCUAAUCCUUGAUGCUUGGCCUUCAUGGUUGUUUCACCCCAUUCCUUCUGAUGGGUGAUGCCCAGGCCUUACUGAUCACUCAUUAUUAUGAAUACUUCUCUUCAAGCCACAGAGGGCAAGUUGGCCUUUAGCCUAAGGGAAAUGGAGAUGCAUCAAAGGGUUCUUUGCGGGGAGUAAGAGGAUCAGAUUUGGGUUUAGGAAGAUCACACUGGCUGCUGAUGGAGAGAGGGUUGGAGGAGGGAUGGAGGAGGCAGGGAGACACCAGGCCACCUCAGUCUUCUCUAGGAGAGACAUUGACAGCCUGCAGCACGGUGGGGCAGCAGGGAGAGAGGAGGGGAGGGAUUCAAAGGGUGACUGGGAUGGAUGCCCCAUUCCUGGUGGGUAGUGAGUGCAGAGGGAGAGGGAGGCAUCAAGGCUGACACUGAAGGGGGCUGGGGAGGAGAUGGACCCCCGCAGAGGUAAGGAAUGUUUCGGUGAACACUGGCCACCUCCAAGGAUGCUUGCCUGCCUCACAUUUUCUGAAAGCCAUAGCUACCAAAUACAUAGUAAUUUUCCUCGAUACUGGGAAGUAAAAGGGACAUCUUGCCCAUAUCUAGGUUACGAAUGUCACAUCUUCUGUGCUGUAGAUCCAUGAAGGCCAGGGCCAUUUGUUAGCACAGAACCCAAGUUUCCUUUGUACCGUGACCCAACCUACAUCUGCUAAGUUCCUCCUGGUGACUGGCUUAGGCAGCAUCUUCACACUCCAGCAAUCCCAUUAGUAAACUUCCUUGGGGGUAUGGUACUCUCUGAUACGUGGAGAGAGAUAGACAGAGAGAGUGCUCUGAGAUCACAGAAGACAGAGUAUCCAGACCGGGGGAGGGGAGCGAGGCUUUAUAGAGGUCUUGUCAUAUGUGUACAAGUGUGCCAAGGAGAUGGGGGAUGAAGAAAGAGCAUUCUACAGAUGGAAAAACAGGAGCUCAAGCACAGAGUGGGUCCAGAGAACAUGGAGAGGGUAGAAAGGGAAUGACUGGAGAUGAGAUUGAACCAGAGGCUGUGGAAAGAUCAUCAAGGGCUAGAAUGCCACACUCCAGAGGUUGAACUUACCUUCAAAGCAUAAAUCAGUUUCCUUUUGUAUGUCAUCUUCAUCUGAUUGAUAGUGGUUGCCCGGAUCUCGUGCUAAGGAGGAUUCUGCUGUGGAUUCAGGGGGGAAGAGCGACACAAUCCCUAGUGAUGCCUGCUCUGGCUUCAGGAGCGGAGCUGGCAGUCUGUGUGUGGGGAUCUGCCAUCUCUGUCAUAAGAGAUGAAGAGCCACUGGAGGGAGGUGGAGGGUGGGGUUGAAGAGUGAGAGCUAAGAAUGUGCAUUGGAGAAGAUCAGCUGGAAGUUCUGGGGAGCAUGAGUUGCUGGAAGGACAGACUAAGGCCGUGCUGCCAAUGAGCCAGCAGUGAAUUUUAAAAUAUCCAAGGAACGAAUGAACUACCAAGUGUCUGCAAAGCGAAGGGUAGACCUUAUUGUAGCUGCUUCUGUAAUGAGGGCGUGCAGGAGGAAUAAAGAAUUUCAGCACAAACACUGUCAGUCUCCCUCUCCCCUUCAGCAAAAAUACCCAGGGUAAAAAAAGACACACACACACACACAUACACACAAAGCAAUGACCCCACAGAGGGGCACUUUCUCCCUCUCCUUCCCUGCUCCCUGUGAAGUCAGUGCAUAAUUACCGGAAAGCAUUUUUGACUGAAUUUUAGAUGAGCAUUUUGACAAAAUAUAAUAUUGGAAACAAUCUUUAUCAAACAUUCAUGUGUCGUGUGAGAGAUAAAGCCCAGAAUCCAUAAUUCAUAUGGCGUGUGUAUUACCAAGUGUGCAUGAGAGGCUGAAUUUCAAUGAGGCAGCCUGAACAAUAUUUUCUGCCAGACGCAGGCUUUCAUCAUUUACAUUAUUCACUAGGUUUUCCAGAACAGUAAAUCUUAAAUAUAUAUUUGUGUUGGGAAGAGCUCUUGUGCGUGUCUGUGUACACACAGAGGGACGCACACCCGUUUGGGCCCAGAAUUGGCGGAUGCACGUUCCAGCUGGAAGGGCACGCGGUGACAGCAGGGAGGCUCGGCACACAGGGUUCCUUCUGGAGGACAGCCCACGUCACCAUGGACUCCACGGCUCGCUGCACAGGCAUUAAAUCCACCCACCCUGUCGUCUCUUUCUUCAGACCCAUCCAGCAUCUCACUUGGAACCUUAAAAGGAAACAGGACCCAGAGCAAGGGCAUUGCCAUUGAGGCCUAAGAGCAGGGCUACUCAAAGUUCAUUGGCUGGACUGGUCAGGCAGGAAUUGUCCGUAUGGCUAGAGUUCAAGAUUGGAAUGAACUUAAAUUCCUUCAACAACAGCUUCAGCCAUUGGUGGGACAGUCUCUGCAUGCAGACCUUAGAGGUGGGGAGCUCAACCCCUUCAGAGAGUGAUGCGAGUCUAUCUCCUGUGAGUCAGAUGGCUCAAAGGGUCUUCCUUCGAUUGAGGUGAAAUAUGUCUUAUAAUUAUUGCCCACAGUGGCUGGGCUGGCCCAUGGGAUCCCGCAGAACCAGUAUGCUUCCCAGAGCACAGGAUGGCCCUUCAGAGCUCUGAGCACUGCAUCACACCCCUGGAACCUUCUUUUUCCUGGCCUUUGUUCCGCUGGCUUAUCCUCACCUGGCUUAUGAGGUGGGUGCAGACAUGCACCACCCAGACUCUCCUCAGGACAGAGGAGCUGGUUCUCCCGCUGCCAAGAGUGUUGCCUGUAAACAGCUCAUGCUGCCCCCCUUAGAGGUUGGGGCUCCCUCAUCCAGCCAAGGGCCUCUGGGUCCCCCAUCAAAGCAGCCAUGAGCGGAUGUCCCAAAUGACCUCCACUCCAAGAGGCAAGUAAUAUUGAUGAUUCCAGAACCCUAAAUAAUGCUGAGACUGGUCCAGGUAAAACACUACUCCCUUUCACCUAAAAAGAAAAGCCGCUUUA